CAGGUGGACAGGUGCAGUUAGAACCCUGUAAGGAGGGUGCUUGUCUUACUUUGUCUGUAAAGGCUUGAGUUUUUAAAUGCAAAAAAGAUUCCCUGGUGAGUGCCUGUUAGCGAUGGCAGAUGUAACAAUUGGCAGAUCCAGAGACUGAUUGCGGAAAGGGAUGUUACACUAACACACACAGACACUCACACUAACACAGACCAAGCCACAAACACCUAGACAAAAAUUUGUAUAGUGUAACAUUUGGAGGACCAGCGUUGAAGGAACCUGAUAGGCAGUAAAUUUCAAGACAGGUGGAUUUAGACCUGUUGUGGUUCCUGAUAAUAGCGCUCAGUACUAUACACCCUUAGGACCGCAGGACAGUCAAGUAGAAAAUGUAACUUGAAGGAUGAGGCCAGAGAUCUUACUUCAAAUUAUCACUCAUAGCCUGAAGAGUCACGGACAGGUGGAGAGGUGCAGAUUGAACCCUGUAAGGAGGGCUUGAGUUUUUAAAUGCAAAAAAGAUUCCCUGGGUGAGUGCCUGUCGGCGAUAGCUGACGUGGCAACUGGCAGAUCCAGAGACUGAUUGCGGAAAGGGAUGUUACACUAACAUACACAGACACUCACAUUAACACAGACCAAGCCACAAACACUUAGACAAAACUUUGUAUAGUGUAACAUUUGGAGGACCAGCGUUGAAGGAACCUGAUAGCCAGUAAAUUUCAAGACAGGUGGAUUUAGACCUGUUGUGGUUCCUGAUAAUAGCGCUCAGUACUAUACACCCUUAAGACUGCAGAAUAGUCAGAGACAAAGAAUCACCUGAAGGGUAAGGCCAGAGACCUUAGAUGAAAUUCUCACUCAUAGCCUGAAGAGACACGGACAGGUGGACAGGUGCAGUUAGAGAAGGGUGCUCGUCUUACUUUGUCUGUAAAGGCUUGAGUUUUUAAAUGCAAAAAAGAUUCCCUGGUGAGUGCCUGUUAGCGAUGGUAGAUCCUGUUAGCGAUGGUAGAUGUAACAAUUGGCAGAUCCAGAGACUUAUCGCGGAGGGGAC